rnacentral:rRNA from 1 species
AACGUAGGAGACAAACGUUAUCCGGAGUUACUGGGCGUAAAGGGCGUGUAGGCGGUUUGUUAAGUCUGGCGUGAAAGCUCUCGGCUAAACCGGGAGAGGUCGUUGGAUACUGGCAGACUAGAGGACGGUAGAGGCGUGUGGAAUUCCGGGUGUAGUGGUGAAAUGCGUAGAGAUCCGGAGGAACACCAGUGGCGAAGGCGACACGCUGGGCCGUACCUGACGCUAAAGCGCGACAGCAUGGGGAGCGAACCGG